AAGGAAUUGACGGGGGCUCACACAAGCGGUGGAGGAUGUGGCUUAAUUCGAGGCUACGCGAAGAACCUUAUCCUAGUCUUGACAUGCACGGAUCAACCCGGUGAAAGCCGGGCCACGCCUUCGGGUGGAACGUGCACAGGUGCUGCAUGGCUGUCGUCAGCUCGUGUCGUGAGAUGUCGGGUUAAGUCCCUUAACGAGCGAAACCCUUGUCGCUAGUUGCCAGCGAGUCAUGUCGGGGACUCUAGCGAGACCGCCGGCGUUAAGCCGGAGGAAGGUGGGGAUGACGUCAAGUCCUCAUGGCCUUUAUGACUAGGGCUGCACACGUCCUACAAUGCUGCGCACAAUGGGAUGCAAAAUCGCGAGAUCGAGCAAAUCCCGAAAAACGCUGCUCAGUUCGGAUUGCAGGCUGCAACUCGCCUGCAUGAAGCUGGAAUCGCUAGUAAUCGUGGGUCAGCACACCACGGUGAAUAUGUUCUUGAGCCUUGCACACACCGCCCGUC
rnacentral:rRNA from 1 species